rnacentral:rRNA from 1 species
AUUGAACGCUGGCGGCAUGCCUUACACAUGCAAGUCGAACGGCAGCACGGGUGCUUGCACCUGGUGGCGAGUGGCGAACGGGUGAGUAAUACAUCGGAACAUGUCCUGUAGUGGGGGAUAGCCCGGCGAAAGCCGGAUUAAUACCGCAUACGAUCUACGGAUGAAAGGGGGGGACCUUCGGGCCUCGCGCUAUAGGGUUGGCCGAUGGCUGAUUAGCUAGUUGGUGGGGUAAAGGCCUACCAAGGCGACGAUCAGUAGCUGGUCUGAGAGGGCGACCAGCCACACUGGGACUGAGACACGGCCCAGACUCCUACGGGAGGCAGCAGUGGGGAAUUUUGGACAAUGGGCGAAAGCCUGAUCCAGCAAUGCCGCGUGUGUGAAGAAGGCCUUCGGGUUGUAAAGCACUUUUGUCCGGAAAGAAAUCCUUGGCCCUAAUACGGUCGGGGGAUGACGGUACCGGAAGAAUAAGCACCGGCUAACUACGUG